ACUCCUGCGGGAGGCAGCAGUGGGGAAUUUUGGACAAUGGGCGAAAGCCUGAUCCAGCAAUGCCGCGUGAGUGAAGAAGGCCUUCGGGUUGUAAAGCUCUUUUGUCAGGGAAGAAACGGUGAGAGCUAAUAUCUUUUGCUAAUGACGGUACCUGAAGAAUAAGCACCGGCUAACUACGUGCCAGCAGCCGCGGUAAUACGUAGGGUGCAAGCGUUAAUCGGAAUUACUGGGCGUAAAGCGUGCGCAGGCGGUUUUGUAAGUCUGAUGUGAAAUCCCCGGGCUCAACCUGGGAAUUGCAUUGGAGACGGCAAGGCUAGAGUCUGGCAGAGGGGGGUAGAAUUCCACGUGUAGCAGUGAAAUGCGUAGAUAUGUGGAGGAACACCGAUGGCGAAGGCAGCCCCCUGGGUCAAGAUUGACGCUCAUGCACGAAAGCGUGGGGAGCAAACAGGAUUAGAUACCCUGGUAGUCCC
rnacentral:rRNA from 1 species